rnacentral:rRNA from 1 species
AGCAGCCGCGGUAAUUCCAGCUCCAAUAGCGUAUAUUAAAGUUGUUGCAGUUAAAAAGCUCGUAGUUGAAUUUCGGGAUUGACACAUCGGUCGUGCCUUAAGGGGUAUGAACUGGUGUAGUCAAUUUCUCACCUUCUGGAGAACCGCGAUGCCCUUAAUUGGGUGUCACGGGGAACCAGGACCUUUACUUUGAAAAAAUUUAGAGUGUUUAAAGCAGGCAUUUUGCUUGAAUACAUUAGCAUGGAAUAAUAAAAUAGGACGGCAUGAUUCUAUUUUGUUGGUUUCUAGGAUCACCGUAAUGAUUAAUAGGGAUAGUUGGGGGGCAUUAGUAUUCAAUUGUCAGAGGUGAAAUUCUUGGAUUUAUUGAAGACUAACUACUGCGAAAGCAUUUGCCAAGGAUGUUUUCAUUAAUCAAGAACGAAAGUUAGGGGAUCGAAGACGAUCAGAUACCGUCGUAGUCUUAACCAUAAACUAUGCCGACUAGGAAUCAGACGAUGUUAAUUUUUUAAUGACUCGUUUG